GAUAUGUUGCAUGUGCAAUAGCUGUAAGUGAUCACUAUUCAUCAUUUAAUUCUUCCCUUAAGGAUGUAGCUUGUUUCAGUUAUAUGAUUGUUCAUUUCCCGAUCCCAUGUUUCCUGCAAUGAUGGACAUGGACUUACUACAUAUUUUCAUUGUCAAAAUGACUCUUUUGUUUUCAUGUCAAGGGUCGGGUUUCAAUCCAGUUUACACCUAUACCAGCUUAAGGUUCUUUGAAACAAUUUCUCACUGAUGUUAAAAUUGCUUGUUUCCAUACCCUGGCUAUCCUCCAUGCCUAGAGAUGGCUAAUUUUGAUUUUGAAUGGAGAUUUUGUUGCUUGGACAUCUCGUCCAAGUGCAUAAAUUUUCCAAAUGGUUUUCCUGUAGGAUCAUAGCGUACUAAUAUUUGAAGGAACAAGGCUUAUUAUUUAUCUUGCAUCUUAUAGUCUUACUAUUCUACGGUGCUUGCCUACUGUUUCCAUUUUAUGUGAAAUUGAACUUCAUUUCUCAUUUCAGUUGUUGUGUGCUGAAAAAUGAGGGUGCUCAUAAAAAAUUUUCGUUUUUGAUCUGUUCAG
rnacentral:misc_RNA from 1 species